rnacentral:rRNA from 1 species
UACAGAGGUCCCAAGCGUUGUCCGGAUUUAUUGGGCGUAAAGCGCACGUAGGCGGCUUUGCAAGUCGGAUGUGAAAUCCCUCGGCUUAACCAAGGAAGUGCAUCCGAAACUGCAGAGCUUGAGUACUUAAGAGGAUCGCGGAAUUCCCGGUGUAGAGGUGAAAUUCGUAGAUAUCGGGAGGAACACCAGUGGCGAAGGCGGCGAUCUGGGAAGAUACUGACGCUGAGGUGCGAAAGCGUGGGGAGCAAACAGG